UACGGAGGGGGCAAGCGUUGUUCGGAGUCACUGGGCGUAAAGGGCGCGUAGGCGGUGCAUCAAGUCAGGCGUGAAAGCCCCGGGCUUAACCUGGGAAUUGCGCUUGAUACUGAUGCGCUCGAGAGCGGGAGAGGAUGGCGGAAUUCCCAGUGUAGAGGUGAAAUUCGUAGAUAUUCGCGAGAACACCAGUGGCGAAGGCGGCUUACUGGUCCGGUUCUGACGCUGAGGCGCGAAAGCGUGGGGAGCAAACAGG
rnacentral:rRNA from 1 species